rnacentral:misc_RNA from 1 species
CUGGUGGUCUAGCAGUUGGGCCAAUUUGACUUUUCAAAAGUUGUCGUUGUCGUUGUCAUUGUUUUUCUAUUUUGUCGAGUGUAAAUGGGAAAUAAAUAUUUUAUUAUAACAAUUUUUGCAAAUCUGUUGAUGUGCCAGCACAGGUAUUUAUCCAAAAAAAGACCCCAACCACAUCCCGAAAUCCAACGGAUGCGGCACGUUCGGCUUCAAAAUUAGGACAGGCGGAUUCUUUAUGCCAGCAAUAAGCAAUUGGGGGAUGCAAUCAUGUUGUAACGAUCACGACGUUUGCUACGACACUUGCGCUAGCAACAAAGAGAUCUGCGAUCGGCAAUUUCUGUUUUGCCUUUUAAGGCUUUGCAAUAGAGGCGAUGAAGAUAAAGUUAGAGAUUGCAGAGAAUCCGCAAUAGUUGCUGCCAAAGCGGUAGAAAAUUUCGGAUGUGUAUCUUAUUUGUAUGCUCAAAAAAGCGCAUGUGUUUGUUAAGGGCGAAUUAUAUUAAUUAUUGCAUUUAAUAAACAAAUGGAUAUUCCUAUUCCGAAUAACUUUUAAAAUAUAUUAUUUUGAUUGCUUAUUUAUUAAAUAAAAAUAUAUACCUAAUUUUAA